rnacentral:rRNA from 1 species
UAGGGAAUAUUGCGCAAUGGGCGAAAGCCUGACGCAGCGACGCCGCGUGAUGGAUGAAGUCCCUCUGGGACGUAAACAUCUUUUAUGAGGGAGAAAGUUUAUUGAUAGUACCUCACGAAUAAGGGGUUGCUAAACUCGUGCCAGCAGCAGCGGUAAUACGAGUGCCCCGAGCGUUAUCCGGAAUCAUUGGGCGUAAAGGGUGUGUAGGUGGCAUUGUUAGUCACACGUUAAACCCUGGGGCUUAACCCCAGAUCUGCGUGUGAUACGGCAAAGCUAGAGGAUGGCAGGGAUGUAUGGAACUCAUGGAGUAGGGGUGAAAUCCGUUGAUAUCAUGGGGAACACCAAAAGCGAAGGCAGUACAUUGGGCCACUCCUGACACUGAAACACGAAAGCGUAGGUAGCGAAUGGGAUUAGAUACCCUCGUAGUCCCUGAGCGGGCUGGCAAGGCGCAU